rnacentral:ncRNA from 1 species
AUAAAGUUUUAUUUUGGCUAAAUAAUUUAUUAAUUAUAUAUUUUACAUGUAAAUUUUUGUGUGAAUUUAUAAUUUUUCUUAAUGAAAUUUAUAUAAAUAUUAUUCUCAGUAUUUGAUUUUAUAAAUUAAAGAAAUUUAGAUUUAGUAAUAAAAUUUAGUAUAGGUCAAUUUUGUGCCAGCAUCCGCGGUUAUACAGAAUAUAUAAAUGAAUUUUAUUAUUUUAUAGUUAAAUGAUUUAUUUAAAUUUAUUAUUUAUUAAUAAGGUGAAAUUUUUAAUAUUUUUAAUUUUAUAAAUUAAUUAUUUGAAGCUAUUAAAGUUUAAUAAUAAACUAGGAUUAGAUACCCUAUUAUUUAAAAUGUAAAAAAAAGAAAUUAGGUAGUAAUAGUUAAAGUCUUGAAACUUAAAAAAUUUGGCGGUAUUUUAGUCUAUUUAGAGGAACCUGUUCCAUAAUCGAUAGUCCACGAUAAAUUUUACAUAAUUUAAUUUAAUCUGUAUAUCGUCGUUAUAAGAAAAUUUUAUAAGAAAAUAAAUUUUCUAAAAUUUUUAUUAAAAUUUAUUUCAGAUCAAGGUGCAAUAUAUAAUUAUGAGGAAAUGGGUUACAAUAAAUUUAUUUAUGUUGGAUAAUUAAUUGAAAAAUUGGUUUGAAAUUGGAUUUAAUAGUAAUUUUAAUAAUAUAAUUUUUUUGAUUAUAGCUCUAAAAUAUGUACAUAUCGCCCGUCACUCUCUUUAUUUAAAUAAAAAGAGAUAAGUCGUAACAGAGUAGGUGUACUGGAAAGUGUAUCUAGAAUGAUA